AACUCUCAACCUUCAACUUUUUUAAUAAGGCUGAAGGCUUGGACUUGGGCGCUGCUGGUUUUUACUAACCGGCUCGCCUGAAAUGAAUUAGCAGAUCCUUUUUGUAAUCGGUUCCACUCGACGUGAUAAGUAUUUCGCCGAGGACAUACGAAAGUAUGGCCGAGAUAAAUAAAGUCUUUAGAUCCGCUUCUAAUUCUUAGAUAGAGCUUGCUCUACUAAACCCCAUUUUAUG
rnacentral:misc_RNA from 1 species